rnacentral:rRNA from 1 species
CGAACGCUGGCGGCGUGCCUAAUACAUGCAAAUCGAGCGAAGUUUUUCUGGUGCUUGCACCGGAAAAACUUAGCGGCGAACGGGUGAGUAACACGUAAAGAACCUGCCUCAUAGACUGGGACAACUAUUGGAAACGAUAGCUAAUACCGGAUAAUAGCAUUAACUGCAUGGUUGAUGUUUAAAAGUUGGUUUUGCUAACACUAUGAGAUGGCUUUGCGGUGCAUUAGCUAGUUGGUGGGGUAAAGGCCUACCAAGGCGACGAUGCAUAGCCGACCUGAGAGGGUGAUCGGCCACACUGGGACUGAGACACGGCCCAGACUCCUACGGGAGGCAGCAGUAGGGAAUCUUCCGCAAUGGGCGAAAGCCUGACGGAGCAACGCCGCGUGAGUGAAGAAGGAUUUCGGUUCGUAAAGCUCUGUUGUUAGGGAAGAAUGAUUGUGUAGUAACUAUACACAGUAGAGACGGUACCUAACCAGAAAGCCACGGCUAACUACGUG